ACUCUUCACAUCCCAUUCUCAGACUCUCUUUUCUCGGUCUUCCCUCUCUCGGACAAACCUUCCUCGCCGGAAAUCGCUCCGCCGUGCCGGAGGCGGCGGAGCUUGGCCAAAUCUAGAAAUCAUGACCUCGUUACAAACCUCUCUUCACCUUCUAUCAGAAUCUGGCCUCAAUUUCGCCUGAAAGAGGCUCCCUCGUCUCAAAUCGAGUGAGGGAUUACGAACCCUAGUUUGUGCAAACCUCCCUAAUAGAGCGGAGUUUGAGCUAUUUGCGAGCGAUAAGCAAGGGAACGUGACAAACAAUAUGGAACAACGCUAAAGCAGGGUAGAAUUGGGAGUUCGACGCCACUUACCUACCGGAGCAGUUCCGGUGACUCUUCGACGGCUGGCAAAAUAAACCCGAGGGAUACUUCAAUUCAGAUGCAGCUGGAGUUUAUUUUGGUGGGAGCAAGUUGGCAUAGUGAAAACGAAGAAGCUUGGAUCAUUUCGAGUUAGCUUCAAAGGGCUGUUUUGACAUAAAUUCUAUUUUGGAAUGCCCUUUUUUCUGGAAUCUGUAUGUUUAAAAUGUGUAGCCUGGGUGUUUGGUUAUUGUAAUGUGCAGGUUACACUCGGUUAGAAAUGUUAGAAGUUGAAGGCUCCUGUCAGUUGCAAUGUGAAAUAUGAGCUGAAGGGCAUGACUUUCAAAUAUGAAUUUUGAUGAAUGAUCGGGUUCAUGAUGGCCUGGUGGGUCUGGAUGGAGCUUAUAUGAAGGCAAAUGAUGAACCUUCAAUGAAGAAAGCUAGAUAUUCAGGAAGGAAACUGGAGGUUGGAGGGAAAUAAGCUUUAGAUUCUGUUCCAUAGGUCAAACUCCAUUUUUUUAAUGUUGUAAUGAUAUGAUUGGAUUUUGAACAUGUAUUGAAAUAUUUGCUUGUAAUGUGUUUGACCGCGAAAUUAAGUUUAAAUUCCUUCUCCAAAUGAAAUAUGAAUUAA